CAGUUUGAAACUGCCUCUCACUUUUUUCCUCUCACUUUCGGAACAGAAAAUGCAAACGCUGAAACGCGGAUGACGGGAUACGGUUAGCGCUUUAAAAUCCUCCGCGAUUAUCGUUUUUACUUCGUGAGAUUUUUUCUACCAGAAAUACUAGUUCCGAUUAUGCGCGCCGUCGUCAUGAGCGGUGGCGGAACGGCGAGAGAAGAGCCAUCGCUGUUGCAGACGUUAAACGAACAGGAACAUUGCCGUUGCGGAGGCAGAAACAUGCAGUCGACGGCCAUGCACGAUCGUUUUCACAGAGAAACGUGUGAAUUUUUCUCUAAUCAAGCUUCUCACGAAAUUCUUCGUCUAUUCUCGAAAAUUUCCUUAGAAUGGAGAGGGUGCAUUAAACGGUGGCGGUGGAUAAAGCUGAGGUUUCUGCCACCGCAGCUCGAAAAAGUUGAAUGGCUGCCGCUGUCGCUGCUGGUGUGAACUUCUUUUGAAAAGACCUCAAAAUUCAAAGAAGUAAAGAAGUACUCUCAAAAAGGUCAGAAUGACUUCUAAUAAAGCUGAAGAUGCAUUAUGGUUGCCUGACAGAAUGUCGUGCAGCAUGGUAAAGUUGAAGCAUCUUCCAUUUUUUGAACCCAAACCCCAAAUUUCUCAAACUCUCCAGCUCGUUUUCGUUCUUAUCAUUAUGAUAAUAGUAUUGAAAAAUAGUCAUCCCGGCCAAAAUAUUCAACUGGCUUGAGAUCUUAGAGAUGACAGAUUACGAGCGGGAAUUUGAAUGGAAAAUAGAUGGGGGAGACAUUUUGUUAAGCCAACUUGGAGAAUAUAAGACGCUGUGAAGACCUUGGGUUUAUGGUGAUUUUCAGGUUCUAGAUGUAUAUGCUGACUUUAUGCUUCAAUGAAACUGUAAUGGGACCAACGCCGUAGAAGGAAGAUAUUCAAAAGCCAGUCGUUUCCAUAUCACUUUAAGAGUAAAAUUCAUUGAUGUAAUUAGAAAGAAGGUACUAAUUCUGCCCUUCAAUUCCCGAUGAAUUCGUUAUAGGAUUAAAUUUUUGUCAAUGCUAUUAUAAUUAUUAUUUUUUUUCCCCCGAGUUCAACAAUAUGUGAUAUAUAUGGAUUGGGGGUUGGGGUUUUUUAACAUUUUAUCAAGAUUAUAUGCCUCUUGGAUUGAGUUAUUACUGUUCGUAUUAUGAAAUAAUUAAUGCUAUCCGUUUGAAUGAUACUUUACGUAAAAGACACUGAUUGCAGAACAUACCGCGUAUAAGACAUGUGAGGGCGCUGUAGCGAUUUAUUGCAUUAAACAUCAAGGACAGAAGAACAUAUCUUUUUCCACAAUUUUCCACCAAAAUAUAUUCUUGCAUUCAGAACUGGACAAAAAUUUAAGAGCUUCUUUCUUAUCAAAUUUAACUGUCUACACUCCUACUUUGCCCACCUGUCUGGGCUCACCUAUUAACUCCAAUCAGAAAUUUCACAGACGACCUCUCUCUCUCUCACAGACCUAACGUACCAUUUCAGAUAAAUCCAAUUCCCAAAGCUCCGUAAUGAUAUCGGCCUGAACUUUGUUACUACUCUCCAUUUUAAUCAAUCGAGUGCAUAUGUUAAGGAAAAUACUUGGAGCAACAUCUAUCUAUCUUUGAACAUUCCAUUGAACUUGCCACAUGGCAAAUUCUUCCUACUUUUACUUUGAAAUAUUUUAAUAAAUUUUUUUAUGUACAUAGUGAAAGUGGGAUGCAAGACAGACUUGCUUCAUAUGUUAAAAGUUUGAAAAGUUGAAGUUUAUGUAAUUUGUGUAAUUUGGUUUAUAGGGUUAUAAUUUGUUGAAGUUAUAGCUAUGAAGGAACAAAUUUAGUCCUGAACAAAACAAAUUUAGAUAUUGAACAUAUUUGAUUUCUAAAAUUUCGUUAUAGGAAUCCAUAAUUCAAAGGCUAGAUAUACCACCACCCCCCGACUAAGUUUCUGAAAAUUUGAAUCAUAACUCCAGGAUUGAAAUGUCAUAUUCGUCCUUUUUUCCACCAGUUUCAGGAGUCUGACCGGAGCUACGUUUUAUCUGGUAUUAUAUGAGUUGGACACACUUUGAUAGUGCUUCUUGGACUGCAGGUUCGAGAGGGUUUUUCAUUUCUCCACCGCCAUUUCUUUCAGGGUUAAGUAAAACCAUUGAAAAUUCUAGAUGAUGGGAAAAAAAAACAAAGAAACAAAAAGAACACACA